rnacentral:rRNA from 1 species
CCCCUAGAUGUUCUGGGCCGCACGCGCGCUACACUGAACAGUUCAACAAGUCUUAACCUUGGCCGAUAGGUCUGGGUAAUCUUUGAACGCUGUUCGUGAUUGGGAUAGACCUUUGCAAUUAUGGGUCUUCAACGAGGAAUUCCUAGUAAACGCAAGUCAUCAGCUUGCAUUGAUUACGUCCCUGCCCUUUGUACACUCCGCCCGUCGCACCUACCGAUUGAAUGGUCCGGUGAAAUCUCGGGACGGCGGCUUGGUCGCUUGCGUCCGACUGCUGAAACUUGAUUAAACCAUAUCAUUUAGAGGAAGGUGAAGUCGUAACA